rnacentral:rRNA from 1 species
CCCUUAGAUGUUCUGGGCUGCACGCGCGCUACACUAACGCACGCAACAGGUGCCUGCUCCGAGAGGACUGGGUAAUCAUUUGAGUGUGCGUCGUGAUGGGGAUAGAAUAUUGUAAUUAUUACUCUUCAACGAGGAAUUCCUAGUAAGCGCCAGUCAGCAGCUUGCGCUGAUUACGUCCCUGCCCUUUGUACACACCGCCCGUCGCUCCUACCGAUGGGUGAUCCGGUGAAUGAUUCGGACUUCAGCGGCUCCCCUGGGGUGCGCCGGAGAAAGUUUUGUGAACCUUAUCACUUGGAGGAAGGAGAAGUCGUAACA